GGUUUGACUCUUGGCGCAAAGAAGUGCUCGGUGAUCAGAGAUAGCCUAUACGUCGAUGGUGACUGCACAAUGGACAUCCGGACAAAGAGUCAAGGUGGGGAGCCAACAUACAACGUUGCUGUCGGCAGAGCUGGUAGAGUCUUGGUCUUUGUAAUGGGAAAAGAAGGGGUCCAUGGAGGCGGAUUGAAUAAGAAGGCAUACUCAAUGGCAAAAUACUUGAGAGACUCUGGGUUCUAGCUGCUAGGCAGACUGUUAAGUAUUAGGGGAAAAUUGCUCUUAAACUUUCCUAGCUGUAAGCUUGAGUCUUAAUUCUGGAAAUUUUAUUAGCAAUGCAGGGUGAUGGGGUAUGAACCUGUGUCUCCUUUGUAUCCCUCUGUUGGUGGGGAAAGGUGUCUUUCUUUCUGCCCUCCCCCCCCUUAAAUAAUUCUGUUCACUUUUGUUUUGUUUCCCUGUGUACUCCAGCAUUGGUUAUAGUCAUGGGAAAGGAAGGUGUCCACGGAGGCACACUUAACAAGAAAGCAUAUGAACUCGCUUUAUACCUGAGGAGGUCUGAUGUGUAAGCAGCCUCUCCCCAUCUACCUAGCAACUGUCUUCAUCACCACCCCAAUUAUGGUCACAGUGCUACCAGACUAUAGAUGGUAGCUAAUUUUUCUUUACCUAUUUUCUAAUGUCAUGAUUCCUGUUUGCCCAAUGGAUCAUUUGUAUGUUAACCACUGUAUGUAACCAACCCUUAUCUGGCAACAUAAUUGCAGCACAAUAAUGAUUUGCAUGAUACCUUGAAAUUUGGGGGGAGGGGGCAUGCCAAGUUGGGCAUCACUUUGUCUUAGCAAUUAAUGGGAUAUUGAUAACUAAAAUAAGUUAAUAUUAAGCAAGGUGCCGGGUGUACAAUCUCUAAUUUGAUCAAUGUCUUUUCAGCACUUUGAGCAUUUACUUAGCUCAUUUAGUCUUCCUUUUGUAGCGCAUGGUUGGGAGGAAAAAGUGCAUGCAUCUUUCCUUCACUCCUCUUUUCCCACCCUUUCCCUUUGCACAUAGGUAUUUGGUUUGCUUCCAUCUUUUACGCAGUGCCUGGUUUAUUUAACCAAGUAAUCCCUUUUGUUGAUGAGCUAUUGAGAGCUGCAGUAGUUUGCUUUCAGUAUUGUUGUUGCACUUGAGUAGAGACAGACCUUCUGUCCAUAGGAUAUGUGAAGAGUGCAACUGCAAAAUGAGAGCAAAAGGCACUUCCUCCCAUGACCUUACAGUAACCAUACAGAUCGAAUCCCCAGGGACAUUCCAUCAUUGCAGUAGCUCAGAUUUGUGUUCCUUUUUCUUUGCACACCAGCUCUACUCUUUAGUAAAACUAUAAAAGGCUGCCAUUAUGGACAUUAGGUAUCCCAACAUAACCAUCUGGAGUGUGUCCAGUUUGUUCUUCAUAGGACCAAUUUUUAUUUGCAGCUUGAGUUUUUAUAUGAAGUUGCAUUAUUGUGGACUUGGCUGUCUUGUGAUGAAUUUUUUUCAUAUGUGUUCUGUGCCAUACUAUUGUUAAAAUGAACUGUUGCUAUUGUGAGAUGGAUUUUAACUGACCUAUUAAAGGUUUCUUUCGAAUGGCACUACUUUAGGGACUAGUAUUUGCUUCUAUUGUUUGGGCCUUGUGGAUAAUGUACAGAUUUAAAAACAAAUCUUGUUGCUGAUUUGUCCAUUUCUUUCCCUGCACUUUGUUACAUCUGGGAUACAGUCUAACUCAUCUGAUUUAAUAUGCAUUUAAAAAAAUGCCAUAACUAUUAAACACCUUGUUUACAGACAGAUGAAAUAAAUUUAUUCCAACCAAAUACUCUAGACUCCUGUUGUUUAUGUAAAUUGUUGUCUUACUGUUACAGUUGAUUGUUGACACAUUGGAAUAUACAAAAUAGGCCGGACUCUGUUGCAAGCAUAAAAUCUUAAAAUUGAGCUCAUGGCCUAUUCCAUAUCCUUUAGUAUUUAUUAUAAAUAAAAUGAGUGCCUGGGAAUUUCUUUUUAAUGAGCUUUUAUCUGUUUUUUUAAAAAGUCAUUUUGGGCUCAUCUUUGGGUUUAUGAGAGGAAAAUUGACUUAUCCCCUAGAAAUUAAGUAUUUUCUCUUGUUGCUGGUCUCUAGUUGUGAAAUCUAAUGAGCAAGAAGGAGCCCAAUACCAAGAAGGGUUUCUGCAUUGUGGAUUCUUCUGUAUUGAACUGUCAUGUGACUUCUUUAGAUUUGGAAGCUAUAUUGGCAUGCUGAAGUCAACCAGCUGGAACUCCCACAUAAGAAGAUGUUCCUUAGGCAGCAUGUAAGAAACCUGGGAUAUUCCUGCAGUUUCUGGCUCUGGAGUGACCUAUUAGCUCUGACUACGUAUUUCUGAAGGCAAAAUAUCAAGAUAUAUUCAUCUCUGGGGACUUUGUGAAAAUGCCCAUUAAACACAGAUAUAGUUACCAAUGGAGGAGGUAAUCUGGUGGAUAAAGGCCCCUGUCGUCUUCAAAGGGACAGUUCUGAGGCACAUGGUUCCUCAGAGGGGCUCUAGGGAUAGAGACCCAGCUGUCCGCAGUAACCAGGUGAUGGAUUUAUAAGAUGACGGGUCAAGAUUCAAAGGUACAGUUUGUGAUCAUGGACCAGACUGGAGCUUAGUACUCUGUAGAGAAUUAAACCUCUCCCCCGGCCUUGGACUUGUGAUGAAAUGGUAAAGCACAAGUGAGAACGCUGGGGGGGUUUUCAUCCUGAUCAUUUUAUUAACUAUGUAACCUAGUGUAAGACACAUCUCUAUGUUUUAGUAUUCUCAAAGGGAAAACAAAGAUAUUAACGUAUCUGUAUCUUAGGAUUGUGGAUUAAAAGAAAUAACACAAGUUAUUUUACAUAGUGUUUGGCUGGAAAGGCACAGUGACUUAUGACGUGGUACACUGAAGGCUGUGCGAGGAGCUGCGCUCUGAAUAUCCCCACGUGCUUCUGUCACGUCAGAUGAACUGGAUGCUUACAAAGAGUCAGCGGCAAUGGUCACCGAAUCUGUUUGUAUUACACAGGGAUGUAGAGAUCACUUGAAAGCUUUCAAGCCGAGAGGAAUGACGAUGUACGAAAACAGCAUCUAAACAAUUCUUCAUCAGUGUGCUGAAGGAACCCGGGCCUGGGAUGUAGAGGU